CACCAAUCAAGCCUGGCUUGGUCUUGGGCACCGCGGCGGUUCCACCGUCCGCGCGCCUCAAAAUCCCCCGGCUGGGUCGUCCGUCUCCGAGCGUUGUGGAAUAGAAUCGCUCCGGGGCGCGGGCGGCCGCGGCCGUUAAAUCUUGCAUCA
rnacentral:misc_RNA from 1 species